rnacentral:rRNA from 1 species
AUCGAGUGGGGAAUAACCAGCCGAAAGGUUGGCUAAUACCGCGUACGCCUCUGAGUCUUCGGAUUCGGAGGGAAAGCCGCACUGAGAGUGUGGCGCUCUUUGAUGGGCUCAUGUCCUAUCAGCUUGUUGGUAGGGUAACGGCCUACCAAGGCUUUGACGGGUAGCUGGUCUGAGAGGACGAUCAGCCACACUGGCACUGCGACACGGGCCAG